CCGUAGGUGAACCUGCGGAGGGAUCAUUACAGAGUUCAUGCCCUACCGGGUAGAUCUCCCACCCUAUGUUAUUAUUACUUUGUUGCUUUGGCGGGCCGUUAGGCUCCGGCCCGACUACCGGCCCCGGCUGGUAAGCGCCCGCCAGAGGACCCAAAACCCUGAAUAUUAGUGUCGUCUGAGUACUAUAUAAUAGUUAGAACUUUCAACAACGGAUCUCUUGGUUCUG
rnacentral:misc_RNA from 1 species